rnacentral:rRNA from 1 species
GGAGGGUGCAAGCGUUAUCCGGAUUCACUGGGUUUAAAGGGUGCGUAGGUGGGUCUGUAAGUCAGUGGUGAAAUCUCCGAGCUUAACUCGGAAACUGCCAUUGAUACUAUAGGUCUUGAAUCAUCUGGAGGUAAGCGGAAUAUGUCAUGUAGCGGUGAAAUGCUUAGAUAUGACAUAGAACACCAAUUGCGAAGGCAGCUUACUACGGGUGUAUUGACACUGAGGCACGAAAGCGUGGGGAUCAAACAGGAUUAGAUACCCUGGUAGUCCACGCCCUAAACGAUGGAUACUCGACAUCAGCGAUACACUGUUGGUGUCUGAGCGAAAGCAUUAAGUAUCCCACCUGGGAAGUACGACCGCAAGGUUG